GAUGAACGCUGGCGGCGUGCCUAAUACAUGCAAGUCGAGCGAACGGACGAGAAGCUUGCUUCUCUGAUGUUAGCGGCGGACGGGUGAGUAACACGUGGAUCACCUACCUAUAAGACUGGGAUAACUUCGGGAAACCGGAGCUAAUACCGGAUAAUAUUUUGAACCGCAUGGUUCAAAAGUGAAAGACGGUCUUGCUGUCACUUAUAGAUGGAUCCGCGCUGCAUUAGCUAGUUGGUAAGGUAACGGCUUACCAAGGCAACGAUGCAUAGCCGACCUGAGAGGGUGAUCGGCCACACUGGAACUGAGACACGGUCCAGACUCCUACGGGAGGCAGCAGUAGGGAAUCUUCCGCAAUGGGCGAAAGCCUGACGGAGCAACGCCGCGUGAGUGAUGAAGGUCUUCGGAUCGUAAAACUCUGUUAUUAGGGAAGAACAUAUGUGUAAGUAACUGUGCACAUCUUGACGGUACCUAAUCAGAAAGCCACGGCUAACUACGUGCCAGCAGCCGCGGUAAUACGUAGGUGGCAAGCGUUAUCCGGAAUUAUUGGGCGUAAAGCGCGCGUAGGCGGUUUUUUAAGUCUGAUGUGAAAGCCCACGGCUCAACCGUGGAGGGUCAUUGGAAACUGGAAAACUUGAGUGCAGAAGAGGAAAGUGGAAUUCCAUGUGUAGCGGUGAAAUGCGCAGAGAUAUGGAGGAACACCAGUGGCGAAGGCGACUUUCUGGUCUGUAACUGACGCUGAUGUGCGAAAGCGUGGGGAUCAAACAGGAUUAGAUACCCUGGUAGUCCACGCCGUAAACGAUGAGUGCUAAGUGUUAGGGGGUUUCCGCCCCUUAGUGCUGCAGCUAACGCAUUAAGCACUCCGCCUGGGGAGUACGACCGCAAGGUUGAAACUCAAAGGAAUUGACGGGGACCCGCACAAGCGGUGGAGCAUGUGGUUUAACUCGAAGCAACGCGAAGAACCUUACCAAAUCUUGACAUCCUUUGACAACUCUAGAGAUAGAGCCUUCCCCUUCGGGGGACAAAGUGACAGGUGGUGCAUGGUUGUCGUCAGCUCGUGUCGUGAGAUGUUGGGUUAAGUCCCGCAACGAGCGCAACCCUUAAGCUUAGUUGCCAUCAUUAAGUUGGGCACUCUAAGUUGACUGCCGGUGACAAACCGGAGGAAGGUGGGGAUGACGUCAAAUCAUCAUGCCCCUUAUGAUUUGGGCUACACACGUGCUACAAUGGACAAUACAAAGGGCAGCGAAACCGCGAGGUCAAGCAAAUCCCAUAAAGUUGUUCUCAGUUCGGAUUGUAGUCUGCAACUCGACUACAUGAAGCUGGAAUCGCUAGUAAUCGUAGAUCAGCAUGCUACGGUGAAUACGUCCCCGGGUCU
rnacentral:rRNA from 1 species